rnacentral:lncRNA from 1 species
UCUCGUUCUAGCAAUUGUUUCAACGGCGAUUUCUUUGAGUGGACCCAUAACCCACAGGUUUUCCCAGGAUCUUGUCUGGCUCUUGUAAUCAUCCGGAGAUCUUUAAUUCUUUUCAACUAUGACGUAAGUAUGAUUUCCAUCAGUCAUAUUACUUCUUCAAGAUCUAUUUGAAUUAUUUCUCGUCUUUGGCUCAACCUUGCAUUCUUCUUUAUUCUGGAGUGUCUCAGUUAUUCGUGGUGUUGUUUCUCGUCAUCAUUCUCAGCUUGCUAUUCGAAGGAGUGUUUUCUCUCAAACCUUGGUUCAUUCUCUUGGAGAUUCAUCAUUUCAGCCUUGUGUUAUCAUCUGGAAUUGUUUCCAAUCAUGA